rnacentral:rRNA from 1 species
GACGAAGGAUGCAAGCGUUAUCCGGAUUCAUUGGGCUUAAAGGGAGCGUAGGUGGACUGAUAAGUCAGUGGUGAAAUCUUUGGGCUUAACCCAAAAAUUGCCAUUGAUACUGUUGGUCUUGAGUAUAGUUGCCGUUGGCGGAAUAUGACAUGUAGUGGUGAAAUACAUAGAGAUGUCAUAGAACACCGAUUGCGAAGGCAGCUGACGGGACUAUAACUGACACUGAGGCUCGAAAGUGUGGGGAUCAAACAGG